GAUCCUAUUUGCUGUGAUACUAUGCUGUUUAUUGCUGUUGGUGAUCACUUCUCUCUUUUCAUUGUAUUCCUACUUCCAGCUACACACCUUGAACUAGUCAAUGUAGCUCUCUCCUUUUAAAAUGGAAUGAAACUAAGAUGGUGUUGCUGUGGAUUUACCAUUCCAAAUAGCCUAUUAUGUUUCAACUGUCUUCUAUUGGUUUAGCUGAUCUAUUAUUUGUAUAAACCUAGACAUUAGU
rnacentral:lncRNA from 1 species